rnacentral:rRNA from 1 species
AGUGAACGCUGGCGGUAGGCCUAACACAUGCAAGUCGAACGGCAGCACAGUAAGAGCUUGCUCUUACGGGUGGCGAGUGGCGGACGGGUGAGGAAUACAUCGGAAUCUACUUUUUCGUGGGGGAUAACGUAGGGAAACUUACGCUAAUACCGCAUACGACCUACGGGUGAAAGCAGGGGAUCUUCGGACCUUGCGCGAUUGAAUGAGCCGAUGUCGGAUUAGCUAGUUGGCGGGGUAAAGGCCCACCAAGGCGACAAUCCGUAGCUGGUCUGAGAGGAUGAUCAGCCACACUGGAACGGAGACACGGUCCAGACUCCUACGGGAGGCAGCAGUGGGGAAUAUUGGACAAUGGGCGCAAGCCUGAUCCAGCCAUACCGCGUGGGUGAAGAAGGCCUUCGGGUUGUAAAGCCCUUUUGUUGGGAAAGAAAAGCAGCAGGUUAAUACCCCGCUGUUCUGACGGUACCCAAAGAAUAAGCACCGGCUAACUUCGUG